rnacentral:rRNA from 1 species
CAGUAGCCACGGGAAUACGAAGGGGGCUGGCGUUGCUCGGAAUGACUGGGCGUAAAGGGCGCGUAGGCGGUUUGCACAGUCAGAUGUGAAAUUCCUGGGCUUAACCUGGGGGCUGCAUUUGAUACGUGCGGACUUGAGUGUGAAAGAGGGUCGUGGAAUUCCCAGUGUAGAGGUGAAAUUCGUAGAUAUUGGGAAGAACACCGGUGGCGAAGGCGGCGACCUGGUCCGGGACUGACGCUGAGGCGCGAAAGCGUGGGGAGCAAACAGGAUUAGAUACCCCAGUAGUCCCUGUCUCUUAUAC